UACGUAGGCAGCGAGCGUUGUUCGGAAUUACUGGGCGUAAAGAGUGUGUAGGCGGUGCUCUAAGUUCGGUGUGAAAUCUCCUGGCUCAACUGGGGAGGGUGCGCCGGAAACUGGAGUGCUUGAGCGUGGGAGAGGAAAGCGGAAUUCCUGGUGUAGCGGUGAAAUGCGUAGAUAUCAGGAGGAACACCUGUGGUGUAGACGCUUUCUGGACCAUAGCUGACGCUGAGACACGAAAAGCGUGGGGUAGCAAACAGG
rnacentral:rRNA from 1 species